CGAACGGGUGAGUAAUGCGUGACCAACCUGCCCCAUGCUCCAGAAUAGCUCUUGGAAACGGGUGGUAAUGCUGGAUGCUCCAACUUGACGCAUGUCUUGUUGGGAAAGUAUUUAGUGGCAUGGGAUGGGGUCGCGUCCUAUCAGCUUGUAGGCGGGGUAAUGGCCCACCUAGGCUUCGACGGGUAGCCGGCCUGAGAGGGCGGACGGCCACAUUGGGACUGAGAUACGGCCCAGACUCCUACGGGAGGCAGCAGGC
rnacentral:rRNA from 1 species